CUACGGGGUGCUGCAGUGAGGAAUAUUGCACAAUGGGGGGAACCCUGAUGCAGCAACGCCGCGUGGAGGAUGUCGCAUUUCGGUGUGUAAACUCCUUUUAUAUGUCAAGAAAAUGACGGUAGCAUAUGAAUAAGCACCGGCUAACUCCGUGCCAGCAGCCGCGGUAAUACGGAGGGUGCAAGCGUUACUCGGAAUCACUGGGCGUAAAGGACGCGUAGGCGGGUUGGAAAGUCAGGUGUGAAAUCCUGCAGCUUAACUGUAGAACUGCACUUGAAACUUCUAAUCUAGAGUAUGGGAGGGGGAGAUGGAAUUAGUGGUGUAGGGGUAAAAUCCGUAGAUAUCACUAGGAAUACCUAAAGCGAAGGCGAUCUCCUGGAACAUUACUGACGCUAAGGCGUGAAAGCGUGGGGAGCAAACAGGAUUAGAUACCCGGGUAGUC
rnacentral:rRNA from 1 species